AUAGGUAUAAUAUAAACUCAACAUGAACUUUAAUGUUUAUAUCCAAGAAAAAUUGUUAUUAGCAUGUCUUAUCUUUUUAUCUUACUAAUCCUUAAUACCUUGCUUUUUCAAUGGUUAAUCUAGAUUUGUGUUGUAUAACACUUGGUACAUCAAAUGCUUGAUCCUUCAUAGUUUUCGGCCGACAUCGUUGUUAUGAUAGGAACUUGAUUUGUUGUUAACAUAAGCUAGCAACAUGAAUGCCUGAUGAUAUUUAUAAGUAUGGUGUUACUUAGACAAGAUAAUUAAUAUGAUCAUGUUAAUACUUUAUAAUGAGCCAUUAAUGAUAAAUCAUCCGAUUAGAACCUCCUUUGUGUGUGGUUUCUAGUUGAGUAAUAAAAAGAGUUUAUAUUAUAUUUAUUUGAAAUACCAUUAGUGAAUCCUCUAACCUUGACAUUUGUUUUUAUCAUUAUUUAAUCCUUACAUUAAUCUUCCAUCUCAAAGUUCUCAUUAAUUUCUUCCUCUUCUUCUUUUUAUUAUUAUUAUUACUACUAAUACUACUACUACUACUACUAUUAAUAUUAUUACUAUUAUUACUAUUACUAUUACUAUUAUUAUUAUUAUUAUUUACAUUCUUGUUAUAUGUUAUGUACGUUAAGUAUGCUCUGUGUUUGAUCAAGGAUCCUGACAUUGUUGGUCUUGCCUUGUUCAUUCGCAUCAGAAAUCUGUUUAUAUUAUAUAAUAUAUCUCUUUGAUCUUUUCAUAAAAUCAGUAUAUAGGCUGGAAACCUGUGACCCGAUCUUUUAGAUCAUUCUCAGGUAUAACAACGCCACGUACUGAGUAUUAUUAUUAUUAUUAUUACUAUUAUUAUUAUUAUUAUUGUUAUUAUUGUUGUUGUUGUUGCAUUGUUAUUUAUAAUUUAUACAAUUAACCUCUCUGUGGUUCGACCCCGGUCUUGCCGGGUUAUUUAUUACUUCGACACUCCUGCACUUGGGAGAAGACAUCAAUCUUUUGGUCGUGUCAAGUUUUUGGCGCCGUUGCCGGGGAGGUAAGUAUUGUAUAAAUUUUAUAUUUCUUUUUUUUUCUUUUUUUUUUACUUUUAUUUGUUUUUCUAAUUUUGUUCCUUUUCUUUUUCUUUUUCUUUUUCUUUUUCUUUUUCUUUUUCUUUUCUUUUCUUUUGCACUUGCAUGAGAGUUUGGACACGUACAUUAAGUGGUAGACUUUCUAGGAAAUCCUCAAUUUCUUUAGAAAACAUGGCCGAAGAAGAUAACCAGUCAAUUCAUAAUGAGAAUAAUCAUAUGAGAACACUUAGAGAUCACAUGAAUCCAACAAGAACAAGUGCACCAUCAUGUAUAGUUUUUCCUCCUGAUGCUUCUCAUUUUAAUUUUAAGCCAGGUAUUAUUCAACUUUUACCCACUUUUCAUGGCUUAGAAUUAGAAAAUCCAUAUUUGCAUUUAAGAGAAUUUGAAGAAGUUUGUAACACCUAUAAUGACUUAAAUUGUAGCAUGAACACCAUCAGAUUAAAGCUUUUUCCUUUUUCAUUAAAAGAUAAAGCUAAAACAUGGCUACAAAAUAUUAGGUCAGGAUCCAUUCGUGCUUGGGAUGAAAUGCAACAACAAUUUUUAAAGAAGUUUUUUCCGUCUCACAGAACAAACUCUUUCAAAAGACAAAUCACCACUUUCACUCAAAAACCAGGAGAAACAUUUUACAAGUGUUGGGAUAGAUAUAAAGACUUGCUUAAUACCUGUCCUCAUCAUGGUUUUGAAACAUGGAGAUUGGUCUCACAAUUUUAUGAAGGGUUAACACCUAAAGAUAGACAAAUGGUGGAAUUGAUGUGCAAUGGAACUUUUGAAGAUAAAGACCCUGAUGAAGCAAUGGAGUACCUAGACUUGCUAGCUGAAAAUGCUCAAAAUUGGGACACCACAGGUACGUGUGAGGCACCAGGUAAAACUCAACCUCAUACAUCUAAUGGAGGCAUGUACAACCUUAGGGAAGAUCAUGACCUCCAAGCCAAAUUUGCAUCUUUAGCUAGAAAAGUUGAGGCACUAGAAUUAAAAAAGAGUGGUCAAAUAAAAUCUGUUCAAGAAAUUGUGUGUCAAAUUUGUGAAACUAAUGAACACUCAACCAAUGAUUGUCCAACUUUGCCUUCUUUUAAGGAAUGUCUCCAUGAACAAGCCAAUGCUUUAAAUAGUUUCCAAAGUUCUCAUGGGUAUGCAUCUCCUUGUGUUCCCCCUCCUGGAAGAAAUCUUGAGGACACUUUAUAUGCAUUCAUUGAAAAGCAAGAGACAAUCAACACUCAACUUGCUCAAAGCAUGACAGAUUUUAAAGAUACUCUUGCAAAAUUCACAUCUGCUCUCAAUUUUCAUGAGAAAGGUAAGUUCUCAUCUCAACCACAGCAAAAUCCCAAAGGGCAAUACAAUUCAAAUGCAAGUAGUUCUGGAAGCCAACACAUGGAUCAAGUCAAAUCAGUCAUUACUCUCCACGGUGGUAAGGUUAUUGAAAAACCAAUUCUUGAACCUUGUGAGAAAGAUGAUAAGUCAAUCUUUGAGGGUAAGGAAGGGGUUAAACCUGAAUAUUGCAAAGAAAAGACUGAUUCCCCACCAGUACUUCCAUUUCCUCAUGCCAUGACCAAGCAAAGAGAAGUCAAUCACGAUUCUGAAAUUUUUGAAACUUUCAAACAAGAAGAAAUCGAGGAUGAAAAAGGCACCGAAAAUGUUGUCGCGGAUCAUUUGUCAAAAUUGACAAUAGAUUCGACAUCUGACAUCACACCAAUUGAGAAAUACUUUCCUGGUCAAUCCUUACUUUCUCGUAGUCCAAUGCCUUGGUUUGCUAAUCAUAUCAAUUUUCUUGCAACAGGAGAUUUGCCAGCUCACUGGAGUACCGAAGACAAAGGAAAGUUUUUGAGCAACGUGCAGAAAUUUUAUUGGGAUGACCCUUACUUAUUCAAAUAUUGUCCCGAUAAAAUAUUUCGAAGAUGCAUUCCCGACAAUGAGGUAAGUAGUGUCAUUAAAUUUUGUCAUUCUGAAACAUGUAGGGGUCAUUUCUCAUCAAAGAAGACAGCUGCAAAAAUCUUACAAAGUGGAUUUUAUUGGCCCACCAUGUUCAAAGACUCACAUGCAUUCUGCAAAACCUGUGAAAAAUGUCAAAAGGUGGGAUUUAUUUCAAAGCAUCGAGAGUCUUUAGUUAAUCUUCUAUUGACUCUUAAGUCUCAUCAUAAUGGAGAUAUGCAUCGUACAAUUCAUGAUUUAUAGCCUCAUUUUCAUAAAGAACAUGAUCGACUUAGUCUUGGGAAUCUGACUAAAAAAGACCCUGUUUGUCAGUUUUUAAGAAAACUGGAUGGGAAGCCUAUCCCCGACCCAUAGAGGGCGUUUAAGCCGUUCUUGGACGUAAAACCAAGGGAAGAUGUGAGCCACAAUCACAACUGCUUGUACAUACAUAUGUUUUAAAAAAAUUAAUAAAAAUAAAUAAAAUAAAAAAAUAAAAAAGAGAGAGAGAGAAAGUGAGACUCCAGCUAGCCUACAUAUAGGUGGUAUGAUUGCAUUUUUAAUUUCUCAUCUAUAAAAUCUUCUUUUCCUUCCCAUCAUUUCUACUCUACCCAUUCAUUUAACAGGUAUAGAAGUGUGUAGAAAUGGCUAGUUCCUCUGUUCCUAAAAUAAAAAAUAUUUGUGUUUUUUGUGGAUCCAGUCCUGGGAAAGAAAAAGAGUUUUUAGAAUCAGCAAAUCAUCUUGGUCGGGUACUAGCUGAGAGAAAGAUUCAUUUAGUGUAUGGGGGAGGCAGCCUUGGGUUAAUGGGGAGUGUUUCAAUAGCUGCAUUUUUAGGACGCAGUCAAGUUUUGGGGGUCAUCCCCAAAGCUUUAGCCGAAGGGGACAUCAUUGGAAAAACAGUCGGAGAGGAACUACAGGUCUCCAUAAUGUCUGAACGACUAUCUGUAAUGUUUAACCAUGCUGCCUUUAUUGCUUUACCAGGUGGUUUGGGAACUUUAGAAGAGAUAUUUCAUAUUUCAUCUUGGGCUCAGCUGAACAUUCACCAUAAACCUAUAGGUUUGCUAAAUGUUAAUGGUUUUUAUAAUACUUUACUGUCUUUUCUUGAUCAUGCUGUGGAACAACAAUUUCUAACAUUUUCAGCGCGACAAAUCCUCAUCUCUGCUGCUACUGCUGAACAAUUGAUUGAUGAACUUCAAUCUUUCAUCCCUGUAGUUGAUUCCUCUAUGAGUCGACUUAAUUGGUCAAUCACGGAACGCCGUAAAAAGCUUAGAUUGGAUUUGAGCCCUAGUUUGUGAAAUAUUGUGUCUUUUGGUUUUAUUAAUGGUAUAAUAUUUGUGUUUUGUUGUUUCUUGUAUUUGUUUAAGUGUGUUUCAGGUUUGUCAGUAGUCACUGUUUCAGGUGAUGUCUUCUAUACUCUAUCUUUCUACCUUAAAACAUUGAGGACAAUGUCUCGUUUUGGUUGGGGGGAGAGGGUAGUAGUUGAUAUUACAAAAAAAAAAAAUUUAACUAACUGUGUUUCCUAUUGUUACAACCAUUUGCAAACCUGUUGUUACUAGGAUGGCAGAGUAAAGGAGGAACUUUAGUGACUCUUGAGACGUAUCUUAGUAAACAUUCUUAACAAGGUCUAUUAUAAUACUUCUUAAAAUAUUCAGAUUUACAAACUCUCGCAUUGUUAUCACUUAAUUCUGCUCAUAUACUCAUUUAACAAGUAUUCUUAAACCUUCAUUUUCGCACACACACUUUAACAUAUGAUUGUGGGUUGCAUAUUGGAUUAUUACAUUAUUUAUGUUCUUUUGUUAAAGGUAACAACUAAGGGAAAGGGAUAAUAUAUAAUAUGCAAAAAAAACAAAAAACAAAAAAAAAAACAAAAACAAAAAAAUAAAUAAAUAAAUAAAAGUAGAUAAGUUUGGUUUCGUAGCCUCCUUGACCUAAGCAAUUAAGCCCGAAGGGGUGUUUUAACACCUAGUACCCUAAAGUCAACUGACUUGGGAGCUAUUGGUCCAGUGCUUGUUACAUGGGUUAAGGAGAAAAGCUUAAGGGAAUCAAACAUUGCACUAUCUACGUGUCAGUAUCUGCAACCCGAGUUACUAAGCUUGUAGGGGUGUCUCAACACCUGAUGCCCUAAGACCAACUGGUCUGGGAGUCAUUAGCUAAAAGCUCGUUACAUGGGUUCAAGAUACAUUGUAUUAUAAAUUCUUGCUUUCAAAAAAAAAAAAAAAAGAUAAUAAUCCCAACCCAAGGAAGUUAACCUUAAACAUUGGAACAAAAUUUUGUUUUCUUCCAUGAAAAGCUCCAUAGCUAUGUUUUGAUUUACUGAGCACAAAAGGAUGGUUUAUUAAUAUCUUGUUUAAGAAGUACGAAGCAGAUAUAUAAAUUUAAUGAGAGUUUGUUUAUUUGGAUAGAUUAAUGGAAGUUAAAUGAUGAAUACCUUGCUUUGUGGAACUUGCAAAUUGUUUUUGUAUUUUAACACUUUGAUUACUAGGGACUAGUAAUAAGCUGGUUGGGGGGUGUGAUUAGUACUUAAAAGUGCAUUCUCAUUAAGGCUUUAUAUCAUCGUAUUGCACUAAAGUAUCGUUAAAUUCCCUAACUAAAGCAUGUUUUAUAAUAACAAGUCUAAUAAUAUAAUAUAUCUUUAAUUUAUGGUAAAUGCUUGUUUUGAAUGCAGGUAUAUCUCACAAUUCAAAGGAUUGAUUGAUGUGAUUAACAAUUAAAAGUGAAGAGACAAAAAGAGGACUAGGCUAAGAGAAGAGAUGCUGGUUCAAUUCCAAACUGGAACACCAUUCGGUUAUUUGAUCAUAACUAGAGUUGUAGAACUCGGAUUUAGGUCCACUUUAUAUGGAUGGAAAUAUAAGACAUAGACCUAAAACUUUCAUGAAGGGUCCAAGACUCAAUUCUGCCGUUUUCAAGUUCAAAUCUUAGCAACAAAGGAGAAGUCGGAACCUGUCCUGCAGCUCAAACACUGUUCGGUUUUCAGCUCAUAUCUUGAGUUCUAGAAGUCCAUAUGAGCUCUGGUUUUUUUUUUUGGAAAGCUGAGACAAUUUCCCACAGCUUUCAUGAAACAAAGGGCUCAAAUUCUGAUGUUAGCAAUGACGUUUUGGCCAGCCAACAAUAUCAAAAAUCUGCCAACAAUUUCAAGAACCAGCAGCCAACAAUGUCAAAAACCAGCCACCAAAUCAAUGGUUGGCCACCAACUAUUUCCUUAGUCCACCAAGCAAUAGUUCCACAUCUUAGCCUAUAAAAGGAGACAUUUUCCAUGUAUUUAGUCAUCUUGGUUUUCAGAUCAAGAUCAUGUUCUUGCUUUCUUUCUUUAUAUCUUUGUAAUGUUCAAGUUUUCUUUCAUGUUAUAUUAAUCUCUUGUUUAUGCUUUUUCAUUUCCUUUCCUAUAAUUAGUUAACUUAUAUCAUAAUCAUGUUCUUAUCUUGUUUAUUUAUGUUUUUCUUCUUCAUUAUGUUUAGCUAAGUUAAUUAUGUCAAGGUGAAAGGGUUUUACUAAUGGUGUUAGAAUAGGUAUAAUAUAAACUCAACAUGAACUUUAAUGUUUAUAUCCAAGAAAAAUUGUUAUUAGCAUGUCUUAUCUUUUUAUCUUACUAAUCCUUAAUACCUUGCUUUUUCAAUGGUUAAUCUAGAUUUGUGUUGUAUAACACUUGGUACAUCAAAUGCUUGAUCCUUCAUAGUUUUCGGCCGACAUCGUUGUUAUGAUAGGAACUUGAUUUGUUGUUAACAUAAGCUAGCAACAUGAAUGCCUGAUGAUAUUUAUAAGUAUGGUGUUACUUAGACAAGAUAAUUAAUAUGAUCAUGUUAAUACUUUAUAAUGAGCCAUUAAUGAUAAAUCAUCCGAUUAGAACCUCCUUUGUGUGUGGUUUCUAGUUGAGUAAUAAAAAGAGUUUAUAUUAUAUUUAUUUGAAAUACCAUUAGUGAAUCCUCUAACCUUGACAUUUGUUUUUAUCAUUAUUUAAUCCUUACAUUAAUCUUCCAUCUCAAAGUUCUCAUUAAUUUCUUCCUCUUCUUCUUUUUAUUAUUAUUAUUACUACUAAUACUACUACUACUACUACUAUUAAUAUUAUUACUAUUAUUACUAUUACUAUUACUAUUAUUAUUAUUAUUAUUUACAUUCUUGUUAUAUGUUAUGUACGUUAAGUAUGCUCUGUGUUUGAUCAAGGAUCCUGACAUUGUUGGUCUUGCCUUGUUCAUUCGCAUCAGAAAUCUGUUUAUAUUAUAUAAUAUAUCUCUUUGAUCUUUUCAUAAAAUCAGUAUAUAGGCUGGAAACCUGUGACCCGAUCUUUUAGAUCAUUCUCAGGUAUAACAACGCCACGUACUGAGUAUUAUUAUUAUUAUUAUUACUAUUAUUAUUAUUAUUAUUGUUAUUAUUGUUGUUGUUGUUGCAUUGUUAUUUAUAAUUUAUACAAUUAACCUCUCUGUGGUUCGACCCCGGUCUUGCCGGGUUAUUUAUUACUUCGACACUCCUGCACUUGGGAGAAGACAUCAAUCUUUUGGUCGUGUCAAGUUUUUGGCGCCGUUGCCGGGGAGGUAAGUAUUGUAUAAAUUUUAUAUUUCUUUUUUUUUCUUUUUUUUUUACUUUUAUUUGUUUUUCUAAUUUUGUUCCUUUUCUUUUUCUUUUUCUUUUUCUUUUUCUUUUUCUUUUUCUUUUCUUUUCUUUUGCACUUGCAUGAGAGUUUGGACACGUACAUUAAGUGGUAGACUUUCUAGGAAAUCCUCAAUUUCUUUAGAAAACAUGGCCGAAGAAGAUAACCAGUCAAUUCAUAAUGAGAAUAAUCAUAUGAGAACACUUAGAGAUCACAUGAAUCCAACAAGAACAAGUGCACCAUCAUGUAUAGUUUUUCCUCCUGAUGCUUCUCAUUUUAAUUUUAAGCCAGAACAAACUCUUUCAAAAGACAAAUCACCACUUUCACUCAAAAACCAGGAGAAACAUUUUACAAGUGUUGGGAUAGAUAUAAAGACUUGCUUAAUACCUGUCCUCAUCAUGGUUUUGAAACAUGGAGAUUGGUCUCACAAUUUUAUGAAGGGUUAACACCUAAAGAUAGACAAAUGGUGGAAUUGAUGUGCAAUGGAACUUUUGAAGAUAAAGACCCUGAUGAAGCAAUGGAGUACCUAGACUUGCUAGCUGAAAAUGCUCAAAAUUGGGACACCACAGGUACGUGUGAGGCACCAGGUAAAACUCAACCUCAUACAUCUAAUGGAGGCAUGUACAACCUUAGGGAAGAUCAUGACCUCCAAGCCAAAUUUGCAUCUUUAGCUAGAAAAGUUGAGGCACUAGAAUUAAAAAAGAGUGGUCAAAUAAAAUCUGUUCAAGAAAUUGUGUGUCAAAUUUGUGAAACUAAUGAACACUCAACCAAUGAUUGUCCAACUUUGCCUUCUUUUAAGGAAUGUCUCCAUGAACAAGCCAAUGCUUUAAAUAGUUUCCAAAGUUCUCAUGGGUAUGCAUCUCCUUGUGUUCCCCCUCCUGGAAGAAAUCUUGAGGACACUUUAUAUGCAUUCAUUGAAAAGCAAGAGACAAUCAACACUCAACUUGCUCAAAGCAUGACAGAUUUUAAAGAUACUCUUGCAAAAUUCACAUCUGCUCUCAAUUUUCAUGAGAAAGGUAAGUUCUCAUCUCAACCACAGCAAAAUCCCAAAGGGCAAUACAAUUCAAAUGCAAGUAGUUCUGGAAGCCAACACAUGGAUCAAGUCAAAUCAGUCAUUACUCUCCACGGUGGUAAGGUUAUUGAAAAACCAAUUCUUGAACCUUGUGAGAAAGAUGAUAAGUCAAUCUUUGAGGGUAAGGAAGGGGUUAAACCUGAAUAUUGCAAAGAAAAGACUGAUUCCCCACCAGUACUUCCAUUUCCUCAUGCCAUGACCAAGCAAAGAGAAGUCAAUCACGAUUCUGAAAUUUUUGAAACUUUCAAACAAGAAGAAAUCGAGGAUGAAAAAGGCACCGAAAAUGUUGUCGCGGAUCAUUUGUCAAAAUUGACAAUAGAUUCGACAUCUGACAUCACACCAAUUGAGAAAUACUUUCCUGGUCAAUCCUUACUUUCUCGUAGUCCAAUGCCUUGGUUUGCUAAUCAUAUCAAUUUUCUUGCAACAGGAGAUUUGCCAGCUCACUAGAGUACCGAAGACAAAGGAAAGUUUUUGAGCAACGUGCAGAAAUUUUAUUGGGAUGACCCUUACUUAUUCAAAUAUUGUCCCGAUAAAAUAUUUCGAAGAUGCAUUCCCGACAAUGAGGUAAGUAGUGUCAUUAAAUUUUGUCAUUCUGAAACAUGUAGGGGUCAUUUCUCAUCAAAGAAGACAGCUGCAAAAAUCUUACAAAGUGGAUUUUAUUGGCCCACCAUGUUCAAAGACUCACAUGCAUUCUGCAAAACCUGUGAAAAAUGUCAAAAGGUGGGAUUUAUUUCAAAGCAUCGAGAGUCUUUAGUUAAUCUUCUAUUGACUCUUAAGUCUCAUCAUAAUGGAGAUAUGCAUCGUACAAUUCAUGAUUUAUAGCCUCAUUUUCAUAAAGAACAUGAUCGACUUAGUCUUGGGAAUCUGACUAAAAAAGACCCUGUUUGUCAGUUUUUAAGAAAACUGGAUGGGAAGCCUAUCCCCGACCCAUAGAGGGCGUUUAAGCCGUUCUUGGACGUAAAACCAAGGGAAGAUGUGAGCCACAAUCACAACUGCUUGUACAUACAUAUGUUUUAAAAAAAUUAAUAAAAAUAAAUAAAAUAAAAAAAUAAAAAAGAGAGAGAGAGAAAGUGAGACUCCAGCUAGCCUACAUAUAGGUGGUAUGAUUGCAUUUUUAAUUUCUCAUCUAUAAAAUCUUCUUUUCCUUCCCAUCAUUUCUACUCUACCCAUUCAUUUAACAGGUAUAGAAGUGUGUAGAAAUGGCUAGUUCCUCUGUUCCUAAAAUAAAAAAUAUUUGUGUUUUUUGUGGAUCCAGUCCUGGGAAAGAAAAAGAGUUUUUAGAAUCAGCAAAUCAUCUUGGUCGGGUACUAGCUGAGAGAAAGAUUCAUUUAGUGUAUGGGGGAGGCAGCCUUGGGUUAAUGGGGAGUGUUUCAAUAGCUGCAUUUUUAGGACGCAGUCAAGUUUUGGGGGUCAUCCCCAAAGCUUUAGCCGAAGGGGACAUCAUUGGAAAAACAGUCGGAGAGGAACUACAGGUCUCCAUAAUGUCUGAACGACUAUCUGUAAUGUUUAACCAUGCUGCCUUUAUUGCUUUACCAGGUGGUUUGGGAACUUUAGAAGAGAUAUUUCAUAUUUCAUCUUGGGCUCAGCUGAACAUUCACCAUAAACCUAUAGGUUUGCUAAAUGUUAAUGGUUUUUAUAAUACUUUACUGUCUUUUCUUGAUCAUGCUGUGGAACAACAAUUUCUAACAUUUUCAGCGCGACAAAUCCUCAUCUCUGCUGCUACUGCUGAACAAUUGAUUGAUGAACUUCAAUCUUUCAUCCCUGUAGUUGAUUCCUCUAUGAGUCGACUUAAUUGGUCAAUCACGGAACGCCGUAAAAAGCUUAGAUUGGAUUUGAGCCCUAGUUUGUGAAAUAUUGUGUCUUUUGGUUUUAUUAAUGGUAUAAUAUUUGUGUUUUGUUGUUUCUUGUAUUUGUUUAAGUGUGUUUCAGGUUUGUCAGUAGUCACUGUUUCAGGUGAUGUCUUCUAUACUCUAUCUUUCUACCUUAAAACAUUGAGGACAAUGUCUCGUUUUGGUUGGGGGGAGAGGGUAGUAGUUGAUAUUACAAAAAAAAAAAUUUAACUAACUGUGUUUCCUAUUGUUACAACCAUUUGCAAACCUGUUGUUACUAGGAUGGCAGAGUAAAGGAGGAACUUUAGUGACUCUUGAGACGUAUCUUAGUAAACAUUCUUAACAAGGUCUAUUAUAAUACUUCUUAAAAUAUUCAGAUUUACAAACUCUCGCAUUGUUAUCACUUAAUUCUGCUCAUAUACUCAUUUAACAAGUAUUCUUAAACCUUCAUUUUCGCACACACACUUUAACAUAUGAUUGUGGGUUGCAUAUUGGAUUAUUACAUUAUUUAUGUUCUUUUGUUAAAGGUAACAACUAAGGGAAAGGGAUAAUAUAUAAUAUGCAAAAAAACAAAAAACAAAAAAAAAACAAAAACAAAAAAAUAAAUAAAUAAAUAAAAGUAGAUAAGUUUGGUUUCGUAGCCUCCUUGACCUAAGCAAUUAAGCCCGAAGGGGUGUUUUAACACCUAGUACCCUAAAGUCAACUGACUUGGGAGCUAUUGGUCCAGUGCUUGUUACAUGGGUUAAGGAGAAAAGCUUAAGGGAAUCAAACAUUGCACUAUCUACGUGUCAGUAUCUGCAACCCGAGUUACUAAGCUUGUAGGGGUGUCUCAACACCUGAUGCCCUAAGACCAACUGGUCUGGGAGUCAUUAGCUAAAAGCUCGUUACAUGGGUUCAAGAUACAUUGUAUUAUAAAUUCUUGCUUUCAAAAAAAAAAAAAAGAUAAUAAUCCCAACCCAAGGAAGUUAACCUUAAACAUUGGAACAAAAUUUUGUUUUCUUCCAUGAAAAGCUCCAUAGCUAUGUUUUGAUUUACUGAGCACAAAAGGAUGGUUUAUUAAUAUCUUGUUUAAGAAGUACGAAGCAGAUAUAUAAAUUUAAUGAGAGUUUGUUUAUUUGGAUAGAUUAAUGGAAGUUAAAUGAUGAAUACCUUGCUUUGUGGAACUUGCAAAUUGUUUUUGUAUUUUAACACUUUGAUUACUAGGGACUAGUAAUAAGCUGGUUGGGGGGUGUGAUUAGUACUUAAAAGUGCAUUCUCAUUAAGGCUUUAUAUCAUCGUAUUGCACUAAAGUAUCGUUAAAUUCCCUAACUAAAGCAUGUUUUAUAAUAACAAGUCUAAUAAUAUAAUAUAUCUUUAAUUUAUGGUAAAUGCUUGUUUUGAAUGCAGGUAUAUCUCACAAUUCAAAGGAUUGAUUGAUGUGAUUAACAAUUAAAAGUGAAGAGACAAAAAGAGGACUAGGCUAAGAGAAGAGAUGCUGGUUCAAUUCCAAACUGGAACACCAUUCUGUUAUUUGAUCAUAACUAGAGUUGUAGAACUCGGAUUUAGGUCCACUUUAUAUGGAUGGAAAUAUAAGACAUAGACCUAAAACUUUCAUGAAGGGUCCAAGACUCAAUUCUGCCGUUUUCAAGUUCAAAUCUUAGCAACAAAGGAGAAGUCGGAACCUGUCCUGCAGCUCAAACACUGUUCGGUUUUCAGCUCAUAUCUUGAGUUCUAGAAGUCCAUAUGAGCUCUGGUUUUUUUUUUUGGAAAGCUGAGACAAUUUCCCACAGCUUUCAUGAAACAAAGGGCUCAAAUUCUGAUGUUAGCAAUGACGUUUUGGCCAGCCAACAAUAUCAAAAAUCUGCCAACAAUUUCAAGAACCAGCAGCCAACAAUGUCAAAAACCAGCCACCAAAUCAAUGGUUGGCCACCAACUAUUUCCUUAGUCCACCAAGCAAUAGUUCCACAUCUUAGCCUAUAAAAGGAGACAUUUUCCAUGUAUUUAGUCAUCUUGGUUUUCAGAUCAAGAUCAUGUUCUUGCUUUCUUUCUUUAUAUCUUUGUAAUGUUCAAGUUUUCUUUCAUGUUAUAUUAAUCUCUUGUUUAUGCUUUUUCAUUUCCUUUCCUAUAAUUAGUUAACUUAUAUCAUAA